rnacentral:rRNA from 1 species
GGGUGAGAAUCCCGUCCACCGAUUGACUAAGGUUUCCAGAGGAAGGCUCGUCCGCUCUGGGUUAGUCGGGUCCUAAGCUGAGGCCGACAGGCGUAGGCGAUGGAUAACAGGUUGAUAUUCCUGUACCACCUAUAAUCGUUUUAAUCGAUGGGGGGACGCAGUAGGAUAGGCGAAGCGUGCGAUUGGAUUGCACGUCUAAGCAGUAAGGCUGAGUAUUAGGCAAAUCCGGUACUCGUUAAGGCUGAGCUGUGAUGGGGAGAAGACAUUGUGUCUUCGAGUCGUUGAUUUCACACUGCCGAGAAAAGCCUCUAGAUAGAAAAUAGGUGCCCGUACCGCAAACCGACACAGGUA